rnacentral:miRNA from 1 species
UGGGGAGCGGCCCCCGGGCGG